rnacentral:rRNA from 1 species
CUAUCUACAGGCUUAACACAUGCAAGUCGAGGGGCAGCAUGGUCUUAGCUUGCUAAGGCCGAUGGCGACCGGCGCACGGGUGAGUAACACGUAUCCAACCUGCCGUCUACUCUUGGACAGCCUUCUGAAAGGAAGAUUAAUACAAGAUGGCAUCAUGAGUCCGCAUGUUCACAUGAUUAAAGGUAUUCCGGUAGACGAUGGGGAUGCGUUCCAUUAGAUAGUAGGCGGGGUAACGGCCCACCUAGUCUUCGAUGGAUAGGGGUUCUGAGAGGAAGGUCCCCCACAUUGGAACUGAGACACGGUCCAAACUCCUACGGGAGGCAGCAGUGAGGAAUAUUGGUCAAUGGGCGAGAGCCUGAACCAGCCAAGUAGCGUGAAGGAUGACUGCCCUAUGGGUUGUAAACUUCUUUUAUAAAGGAAUAAAGUCGGGUAUGGAUACCCGUUUGCAUGUACUUUAUGAAUAAGGAUCGGCUAACUCCGUGCCAGCAGCCGCGGUAAUACGGAGGAUCCGAGCGUUAUCCGGAUUUAUUGGGUUUAAAGGGAGCGUAGAUGGAUGUUUAAGUCAGUUGUGAAAGUUUGCGGCUCAACCGUAAAAUUGCAGUUGAUACUGGAUAUCUUGAGUGCAGUUGAGGCAGGCGGAAUUCGUGGUGUAGCGGUGAAAUGCUUAGAUAUCACGAAGAACUCCGAUUGCGAAGGCAGCCUGCUAAGCUGCAACUGACAUUGAGGCUCGAAAGUGUGGGUAUCAAACAGGAUUAGAUACCCUGGUAGUCCACACGGUAAACGAUGAAUACUCGCUGUUUGCGAUAUACUGCAAGCGGCCAAGCGAAAGCGUUAAGUAUUCCACCUGGGGAGUACGCCGGCAACGGUGAAACUCAAAGGAAUUGACGGGGGCCCGCACAAGCGGAGGAACAUGUGGUUUAAUUCGAUGAUACGCGAGGAACCUUACCCGGGCUUAAAUUGCAGAUGAAUUACGGUGAAAGCCGUAAGCCGCAAGGCAUCUGUGAAGGUGCUGCAUGGUUGUCGUCAGCUCGUGCCGUGAGGUGUCGGCUUAAGUGCCAUAACGAGCGCAACCCUUGUUGUUAGUUACUAACAGGUCAUGCUGAGGACUCUGACAAGACUGCCAUCGUAAGAUGUGAGGAAGGUGGGGAUGACGUCAAAUCAGCACGGCCCUUACGUCCGGGGCUACACACGUGUUACAAUGGGGGGUACAGAGGGCCGCUACCACGCGAGUGGAUGCCAAUCCCCAAAACCUCUCUCAGUUCGGACUGGAGUCUGCAACCCGACUCCACGAAGCUGGAUUCGCUAGUAAUCGCGCAUCAGCCACGGCGCGGUGAAUACGUUCCCGGGCCUUGUACACACCGCCCGUCAAGCCAUGGGAGCCGGGGGUACCUGAAGUGCGUAACCGUGAGGAGCGCCCUAGGGUAAAACUGGUGACUGGGGCUA